AUUGCACGCUGGCGGCAGGCCUAACACAUGCAAGUCGAGCGAGCGGCGGACGGGUGAGUAAUGUAUGGGGACUGCCCGAUCGCGGGGGAUAACUACUGGACACGGUAGCUAAUACCGCAUCCUAUCCGAUAACCCCUAUUGGAUUAGCUAGUAGGUGAGGUAAUGGCGCACCUAGGCGACGAUCCCUAGCUGGUCUGAGAGGUUGAUCAGCCACACUGGUACUGAGACACGGCCCAGACUCCUACGGAGGCAGCAGUGGGGAAUAUUGCACAAUGGGCGAAAGCCUGAUGCAGCCAUGCCGCGUGUAUGAAGAAGGCCCUAGGGUUGUAAAGUACUUUCAGUCGGGAGGCGUUACCGACAGAAGAAGCACCGGCUAACUCCGUGCCAGCAGCCGCGGUAAUUC
rnacentral:rRNA from 1 species